UUUACUUUCCUCUUCCCUCUUUCCUCCAGGCUUUACUUUCCUCUUCCCUCUUUCCUCCAGGCUUUACUUUCCACUUCCCUCUUUCCUCCAGGCUUUACUUUCCUCUUCCCUCUUUCCUCCAGGCUUUACUUUCCUCUUUUCUCUUUCCUCCAGGCUUUACUUUCCUCUUUCCUCCAGGCUUUACUUUCCUCUUUCCUCCAGGCUUUACUUUCCUCUUCCCUCUUUCCUCCAGGCUUUACUUUCCUCUUCCCUCUUUCCUCCAGGCUUUACUUUCCUCUUCCCUCUUUCCUCCAGGCUUUACUUUCCUCUUCCCUCUUUCCUCCAGGUUUUACUUUCCUCUUUCCUCUUUCCUCCAGGCUUUACUUUCCUCUUCCCUCUUUCCUCCAGGUUUUACUUUCCUCUUUCCUCUUUCCUCCCGGCUUUCUCUCAUUUAUUCACUACACAUUUCCUUUCCUAAUAUUAUUCUUCCCCAAACUGUCACAUGUUUCUCCGUUUAUUGCUCCUAUACGUUUUCAUUUUCUCGUUAAUGUAGGUUUUCUCUCUCAUCUAUUCACUACACCUGUUUCUGUUGACAUUUUUUCUUUACUUAUUCACUAGACAUAUUCUCCGUGUUCACAUUUUCAUUCUUUCGAUCUCUAAUGCUUCUCCUUUUCAUGUCCUUCAAUGUCUCCCUUCCUUUGUUAAUUCACGUUUUUUUUUUUUUUUUUUUUUGUCUCCAUAUUUCUCGUGUACUUUUUUUUCUCUUUGUUAUUCAUGUACUACUUUUACUUGUUAUUUUUUUUGUUUUGUUUUUAUAUCUGCAACAUGUUUCUCCUUUUCCUGCUCUGCUAUGUUUUCCUUUACUUGUUAAUUUAUGUUUUCCCUCCAUCUUUAUUUGUGUUUUAAUCGCUUUUUUUUUUCUUUUGAUGUGUGAUAAGUGAGUACCGGGCUUUUUUUCAUUAUUGUUUUCCUUUUUUUUUUUGGCCCUUGAACUGUUUACUGUAAAAAAAAAAAAGUUUCUCCCGUGUUUGUCCUUUCCAUGUCUUCCUUUCCUUGUUAUUUUGUUUUCUCUCCAUCUUUAUUUGUGUUUUAAUCGCCUUUCUUUUGAUGUGUAAUACGUUUCUCCUUUCUUUGUCCUUUCCAUGUCUUCCUUUCCUUGUUAUUUUGUGUGUUUUCUCUCCAUUUUUAUGCGUCAUACUUUUUUUUCUCCUUUUUUCUUGCAAUCGGUAAUAUACUUUCUCCCUUUUUGCUCUCCCGCGUCUUCCUUUUCUUUUUCAUUGACGUUUUCUCUCCCUCUUUAUGCACUGUUUACUACCUUCUCGCUCUUAUUAUUCUCCUCCCCGCCUUGUCAUUAUUAUAUUUUCCGUCCACGCAAUUACAUAUUUUCUCCACCGCUAUUAUUCAUAUUUUCCUCCCGCCCUUGUUAUGGAUGUUCCUCUUCUUUGUCUGGGUUUUCUUGUUCUUGUUCUUGAUGAUGCUGUUGUUGCGUGUUUUUAGGUUUGAUGUUGCUAUGUUCGUUUUUGUAUUCUCUCUCUCUCUCUCUCUCUCUCUCUCUCUCUCUCUCUCUCUCUCUCUCUCUCUCUCU